rnacentral:rRNA from 1 species
UACGGGGGGGUAAGCGUUGUUCGGAAUUACUGGGCGUAAAGGGCUCGUAGGCGGCCAACUAAGUCGGACGUGAAAUCCCUCAGCUUAACUGGGGAACUGCGUCCGAUACUGGAUGGCUUGGAUUCGGGAGAGGGAUGCGGAAUUCCAGGUGUAGCGGUGAAAUGCGUAGAUAUCUGGAGGAACACCGGUGGCGAAGGCGGCAUCCUGGACCGAUAUUGACGCUGAGGAGCGAAAGCCAGGGGAGCAAAGCGGG